GAAUUUUGGACAAUGGGCGAAAGCCUGAUCCAGCAAUGCCGCGUGCAGGAAGAAGGCCUUCGGGUUGUAAAUUGCUUUUGUACGGAACGAAAAGCUUUGGGUUAAUACCAAGGAGUCAUGACGGUACCGUAAGAAGAAACAGCGGAUCACUAAGUGCACACAGCCGCGGUAAUACGUAGGGUGCAAGCGUAAAUCGGAAUUACUGGGCGUAAAACGUGCGCAGGCGGUUUUGUAAGACAGAGGUGAAAUCCCCGGGCUCAACCUGGGAACUGCCUUUGUGACUGCAAGGCUAGAGUACGGCAGAGGGGGGUGGAAUUCCGCGUGUAGCAGUGAAAUGCGUAGAUAUGCGGAGGAACACCGAUGGCGAAGGCAACCCCCUGGGCCUGUACUGACGCUCAUGCACGAAAGCGUGGGGAGCAAACA
rnacentral:rRNA from 1 species